rnacentral:rRNA from 1 species
GACGAACGCUGGCGGCGUGCUUAACACAUGCAAGUCGAACGGAAAGGCCCUGCUUUUGUGGGGUGCUCGAGUGGCGAACGGGUGAGUAACACGUGAGUAACCUGCCCUUGACUUUGGGAUAACUUCAGGAAACUGGGGCUAAUACCGGAUAGGAGCUCCUGCUGCAUGGUGGGGGUUGGAAAGUUUCGGCGGUUGGGGAUGGACUCGCGGCUUAUCAGCUUGUUGGUGGGGUAGUGGCUUACCAAGGCUUUGACGGGUAGCCGGCCUGAGAGGGUGACCGGCCACAUUGGGACUGAGAUACGGCCCAGACUCCUACGGGAGGCAGCAGUGGGGAAUAUUGCACAAUGGGCGGAAGCCUGAUGCAGCAACGCCGCGUGCGGGAUGACGGCCUUCGGGUUGUAAACCGCUUUCGCCUGUGACGAAGCGUGAGUGACGGUAAUGGGUAAAGAAGCACCGGCUAACUACGUGCCAGCAGCCGCGGUGAUACGUAGGGUGCGAGCGUUGUCCGGAUUUAUUGGGCGUAAAGGGCUCGUAGGUGGUUGAUCGCGUCGGAAGUGUAAUCUUGGGGCUUAACCCUGAGCGUGCUUUCGAUACGGGUUGACUUGAGGAAGGUAGGGGAGAAUGGAAUUCCUGGUGGAGCGGUGGAAUGCGCAGAUAUCAGGAGGAACACCAGUGGCGAAGGCGGUUCUCUGGGCCUUUCCUGACGCUGAGGAGCGAAAGCGUGGGGAGCGAACAGGCUUAGAUACCCUGGUAGUCCACGCUGUAAACGGUGGGUACUAGGUGUGGGGUCCAUUCCACGGGUUCCGUGCCGUAGCUAACGCUUUAAGUACCCCGCCUGGGGAGUACGGCCGCAAGGCUAAAACUCAAAGGAAUUGACGGGGCCCCGCACAAGCGGCGGAGCAUGCGGAUUAAUUCGAUGCAACGCGUAGAACCUUACCUGGGUUUGACAUGGAUCGGGAGUGCUCAGAGAUGGGUGUGCCUCUUUUGGGGUCGGUUCACAGGUGGUGCAUGCCUGUCGUCAGCUCGUGUCGUGAGAUGUUGGGUUAAGUCCCGCAACGAGCGCAACCCUUGUUCACUGUUGCCAGCACGUUAUGGUGGGGACUCAGUGGAGACCGCCGGGGCCAACUCGGAGGAAGGUGGGGAUGACGUCAAGUCAUCAUGCCCCUUAUGUCCAGGGCUUCACGCAUGCUACAAUGGCUGGUACAGAGAGUGGCGAGCCUGUGAGGGUGAGCGAAUCUCGGAAAGCCGGUCUCAGUUCAGAUUGGGGUCUGCAACUCGACCUCAUGAAGUCGGAGUCGCUAGUAAUCGCAGAUCAGCAACGCUGCGGUGAAUACGUUCCCGGG